GUUGGUAAGGUAAUGGCUUACCAAGGCGAUGAUGUUUAGCGGAGUUGAGAGACUGAUCCGCCACACUGGGACUGAGAUACGGCCCAGACUCCUACGGGAGGCAGCAGUAGGGAAUUUUCCACAAUGAGCGAAAGCUUGAUGGAGCGACACAGCGUGUGCGAUGACGGCCUUCGGGUUGUAAAGCACUGUUAUAAGGGAAGAAAAAGCAAUAGAGGAAAUGCUAUUGCCUUGACGGUACCUUGUCAGAAAGCAACGGCUAACUAUGUGCCAGCAGCCGCGGUAAUACAUAGGUUGCAAGCGUUAUCCGGAAUUAUUGGGCGUAAAGCGUCUGUAGGUUGUUUGUUAAGUCUGACGUCAAAACUUGGGGCUCAACCCCAAAUCGCGUUGGAUACUGGCAAGCUAGAGUUGUUUAGAGGUUAAUGGAAUUCCUUGUGAAGCGGUGGAAUGCGUAGAUAUAAGGAAGAACACCAACAUGGCGAAGGCAAUUAACUGGGGAACACACUGACACUGAGAGACGAAAGCGUGGGGGAGCAAACAGGGAUU
rnacentral:rRNA from 2 species